AGAGACUGUCAAGGACUUCCAUGCAAGGACUUGAUGAAUACAAGAAUGAAGUUAUCUACAUCGCCAAGCUUCAGCAUCGAAAUCUUGUGAGACUUCUAGGCUGCUGCAUCCACGGGGAAGAAAAGAUGUUGAUCUAUGAAUACAUGCCUAAUAGAAGCCUGGAUUCCUACAUAUUUGAUCAAACAAAGAAAAAAUUACUUGAUUGGCCAAAGCGUUUUCACAUCAUCAAUGGAAUUGCUCGUGGCUUAUUAUAUCUCCAUCAAGAUUCUCGACUACGAAUUAUUCACAGAGACCUUAAAGCAAGCAAUGUUUUGCUAGAUAUAGAAAUGAAUCCAAAGAUAUCAGACUUUGGCUUGGCCAGAAGUGUUGCAGGAAAUGAAAUGGGAGCA
rnacentral:misc_RNA from 1 species